rnacentral:rRNA from 1 species
GAUGAACGCUGGCGGCGUGCCUAAUACAUGCAAGUCGAGCGAACGGACGAGAAGCUUGCUUCUCUGAUGUUAGCGGCGGACGGGUGAGUAACACGUGGAUAACCUACCUAUAAGACUGGGAUAACUUCGGGAAACCGGAGCUAAUACCGGAUAAUAUUUUGAACCGCAUGGUUCAAAAGUGAAAGACGGUCUUGCUGUCACUUAUAGAUGGAUCCGCGCUGCAUUAGCUAGUUGGUAAGGUAACGGCUUACCAAGGCAACGAUGCAUAGCCGACCUGAGAGGGUGAUCGGCCCCACUGGACCUGAGACACGGUCCAGACCCCUACGGGAGGCAGCAGUAGGGAAUCUUCCGCAAUGGGCGAAAGCCUGACGGAGCAACGCCGCGUGAGUGAUGAAGGUCUUCGGAUCGUAAAACUCUGUUAUUAGGGAAGAACAUAUGUGUAAGUAACUGUGCACAUCUUGACGGUACCUAAUCAGAAAGCCACGGCUAACUACGUG